rnacentral:rRNA from 1 species
AACUAAGCAUAUCAAUAAGCGGAGGAAAAGAAACUAACAAGGAUUCCCCUAGUAACUGCGAGUGAAGCGGGAAAAGCUCAAAUUUAAAAUCUGGCAGUCUCUGGCUGUCCGAGUUGUAAUCUAGAGAAGUAAUGCCCGUGCUGGACCGUGUAUAAGUCUCCUGGGAUGGGGCGUCAUAGAGGGUGAGAAUCCCGUCUUUGACACGGACUACCAGUGCAUUGUGGUAUGCUCUCAAAGAGUCGAGUUGUUUGGGAAUGCAGCUCAAAAUGGGUGGUAAAUUCCAUCUAAAGCUAAAUAUUGGCGAGAGACCGAUAGCGAACAAGUACCGUGAGGGAAAGAUGAAAAGAACUUUGGAAAGAGAGUUAAACAGUACGUGAAAUUGCUGAAAGGGAAACGCUUGAAGUCAGUCGCGUUGGCCGGGAAUCAGCCUUGCUUUUGCAUGGUGUACUUUCUGGUUGACGGGUCAGCAUCAAUUUUGACCGCUGGAAAAAGACCUGGGGAAUGUGGCAGCUUMGGCUGUGUUAUAGCCCCUAGUCGCAUACAGUGGUUGGGAUUGAGGAACUCAGCACGCCGCAAGGCCGGGUUUCGACCACGUCCGUGCUUAGGAUGCUGGCAUAAUGGCUUUAAGCGACCCGUCUUGAAACACGGACCAAGGAGUCUAACAUGCCUGCGAGUAUUUGAGUGGAAAACUCAAGUGCGCAAUGAAAGUGAAAGUUGAGAUCCCUGUCGUGGGGAGCAUCGACGCCCGGACCAGAACUUUUGGGACGGAUCCGCGGUGGAGCAUGUAUGUUGGGACCCGAAAGAUGGUGAACUAUGCCUGAAUAGGGUGAAGCCAGAGGAAACUCUGGUGGAGGCUCGUAGCGAUUCUGACGUGCAAAUCGAUCGUCAAAUUUGGGUAUAGGGGCGAAAGACUAAUCGAACCAUCUAGUAGCUGGUUCCUGCC